rnacentral:lncRNA from 1 species
GGUUACCAAUUUCAUGUCAUUUGGAUUUGAAAUGAUAGAGUUAUGCAUUUUUGAAGUUUGGAAAAAUCACUUGAUCAAUGGUAUAGGUCAAAAGUGACCUAUAAUGUAGCCUCAUAUCAAGGUUACCAAUUUCAUGUCAUUUGGAUUUGAAAUGAUAGAGUUAUGCAUUUUUGAAGUUUGGAAAAAUCACUUGAUCAAUGGUAUAGGUCAAAAGUGACCUAUAAUGUAGCCUCAUAUCACAUGCUCA